AUUUUCUUAUGCUGCAAAAUAAUCUGAAACUUUUAUGCAAUGAAUCUUGUUCUUUCACUUGGAGUCUCAAAAAAUAAAUUUAAUCCCUUUUUCAAACACAUACUUUUAGGAGUUUAAAAACAACUUUUGCAUCCCCUAUAAAUGUUUUAUUGAUCAGGCUAAAUAUUCCCCGUUUUUUCGAACUUUCCUGACAUAGAAUUCUUUUUAAUAUUUUCUUCAUUAUCCACUAUACUUGCCACAUCAUUGUUCACUACACUUGCUCUAUUUUGUUAUAUUAGUUUCUAAAUGUGUUAUCAGAAAUAUGUAAAUGGGAUAUUUUAAAUGUGCAUUAUGAUAUCAAGUAUAAUAUCAGCUUCAUUUUCUAGCUACCUCAUUAUAAUUAAGAGCAUCGUUGCAUUAUAACGUGAUUUUCUGCAGUCCUAUCAUUCAGAUGGGU
rnacentral:lncRNA from 10 species